CGGCGGACACAACAUCUUUGUAUGUGGUGCUGAGGAUCGAACCCGGGCAGCAUGCAUGCGAGGCGAGCGCGCUACCACUUGAGCCACAUCCCCAGCCCCAACCUGGUUUUCUCACUGUUUCUUCACCGACAGAUACUCUGGGCUGUGUCUGAGGUAUAGAAUCUUAGACUUGAAUGCUCCAGAGAUGUAUAAACUUGUUUUCUUUUGAAUGUAUUUGACAGCUGUCUGCCUGGAUAAAGUAUGUUGGCUUUCUGUCACUAAAACAAAAUACCUGAGAUAAUUGAUAAAAAGAAAAGGCUUAUUUUGGCUCGUUUCAGAGGUUCCAGAUCAUGGAUUUGUUAGCCUAUGGCAAAGCAGCCUGUCAUGGCAGAAGUGUGUGGCAGAGCAAAACCACUGGCCUCUUAGCCAGGAAGCAAGAGAGGAAGGAACCAGAGUCCCAUAAUCCUCUUCAGGGACAUAUUCCCAAUGACCAAAGGACUUCUCACUAAGUCCCAACUCUCAGAGUUUAACCAUCUGCCAGUAGUGCCACUGUGGGGACCAGGCCUUUAACACAUGUGCCUUUGGGGGACAUUCAAGGUCCAAACUACAGCUACAGCAGUGAGAGAAGGGAUCCUGUGGUCUGGCUGUUCCUUUGGGAAGGCUUCUGCCAGUCUUCCAGUUCUCAGCUCAACCCUGCCUCCUUCAGCACUUGCCAGGGUUUUUCAUCAAGUUCCUCAUCUUCUGGAUCCUGUGGCGUUAAUCAUCUUGCUUCCUGCAGGCAUUUAGUCUUGUGUGCCAGUCCUUCUGCCAUAAUGAGGUAUCUGUCUGCUCUCUCCUCUUCCUUCUUCCUUAAAGCUCAGAAUUGGGAUGAGAUCCAUGUACAGUGUGCCUAGGAAGCCCCAGCACCGCCAAGGGGAGGCUUCCCGAAGGAUUGGCUUUUGAAUCAGGUAGUAGAGAUGGAUUGGGAUACAGGGCAGGGUAUUCAAGGCAGGAAAAGGUAUGAAAAACAUGAACACAUUCUAUUCAAGGGACAUUGAAUAGUUUAAAAAUUGGGAUGGAAG
rnacentral:lncRNA from 1 species